GGAGGGGGAGGGGGGGGACAACCCCCAAAAUGAAUGUUUUUAACCAGUGGUUCCAGGAUUUUCUAUUUUAUACCAGAAAGUUUCCUAAAUAAAUUGGGGACCAAUGAUAGGGUUGCUAGCAUUUUGAAAUAUAGAUAAUUCGACACACAUAUAGUUACUACCAUUAUAAAAGUAUGAGGGCCAUUGUUUUGGAAUAAAGGACAGUUUUUUAAAUUUGAAGAAAGUUUUAAAAAGACACAAUGCGUUAUCCUUAUUUUUCUCAUUUCUUUGUGGACUUAUUGGAGAUCAUUAUGUAUUUUGCCAUUUGAGAAGCACUGCUUUAAAUCAGCUUCCUAAAAUGUCUAUCAUGCAACCUUGCUUCUGUGUGCUAUUCUUAGGAGUUAGGCAGGAAAGGGGUUCCAUGUGGUAGGUUUAAAAAAGACAACUUGCAAGGCAGUGGUGGAAACUACUGAUUCUGGAGUUAAACAGACUUAGGCUCAAAUCUCAGCUGUGGCUGGUGAGUUAACUUGAGGAAAAUUAAAUAGAUUUGCUAAGCCUCAGUUGACUGACUGUAAAGUGGGAAUAGUGGUAUUGCCCCAUAGUGGUUGGAAGGAUUAAAUGUUGUAGUGCUGUUUCAGCACUUUGUGCAGUAGCUUGCAGAGUAACUGUUCAACAUAUGUUAAUUGCUGAUUCUGUUCAUUUUAUCAGUAAUGAAAACGGGGUGUCCUGAGCGUGCUUCUGAUCGGGUGCUCCUGCAGGACGUAUAGGGGAGCAAGCAGCAGGAAGGGAGAUGGCCGGUUUCCUUGAGCAGGCAGUAUGUUGGCGGUCAGAGGAAACCUCAGUGUGCUCGGGAGGGCAGAGUGUAGGAAAUGAACCCAAGUUUCGAGUUGUCUUAAGACUCCAGUGAAAAUGAGAAGUGGGAAUUGACAUUUCUUGUUUCCUCCUUUAGACCUCUCCUUUUGACUUGCAGAGAGAAGCCCCGUGUGGUUAUUUACUCUCUCCUGCUUGUACAGAGUGGUGCAGCUCCUCUUCUGGAAGCCUGAAGUUUGUCUUUUAGAUAGCUUCUUAGAAUGUUCCACAAACUUCUUUUUCUGAGCAAGAAAGGUAAAUUGUAGCAAGUAGAGUAAGUUGUCUUCACUAAAUUGUGAAAGGGAUGGGAUAACCGAGGCUCCUAUUUGUAUGAUGGUGUGUGUUGGAGGGGAGGUGCUGAGGACAGGGGACGGUAGUCACAAGGGGUUUUCUGCCUGGUGAGGGAAUUUAGAAAAUUGCCUGGUCAAUUCUUGUAAAUUUCCAUUCUAACUGGAAGCAGUUCUUCAUUUAAGUUACCUUGUUCUCCUUGGAAACUAUAUGGACAGAUAGGUUUUAAUGGGAAAAAAAUCAUCAUUAUGAUAGAAGUUAAUACAUAGUCAUUGUAAAGAUUUUACUAAUGAAAUAUGGAACAUGAAAACCAUCAUUCUUUGUAACCCCAUUCUAGCCAAUUUUAAAUCUUUAAUUACAGGGUUUGUAUUUAGGGACGUUUAUACUUGAUCAAGGACACCCAUGUUACUGCUUUGGGCACUUAACGACAGGCAGGACUUGAACUUGCUAGCCUGGUUAUUUUGUUUCCUGACGAGGUCCAGGCCUUGUCUCUCGGCAGGCCCCAGAGUAUUUUGUCCAGCAUGAUUCCUGCUUUGAGAAUCCUCUGGCUGUUUUGCCUUCAUUCAUUUAGCUUUUCUCCCACAGACAUUUGGUAGACCCUUUAUCUGUGCCUUUUGCUGGUCUGGAGUCUGAGGGUACAACUGCAAACAAGGUAGGAAGGCACAACCCUAACCCUCAGUAAGGCAGUUGGUCAGCAGAUAUUUGCAGACUUACCCACUAAGUGCCAGGUUCUCUGAUGGAUGCUGGGGAUAGAGUGACACAAGUCAGAAGGAGCCCCUGCCCUCUGCCAAAGGGAGACACAGUAAAUACACAAACAUUUUUCAAGGACAUAGAGUGCUGUAAAGUAAGCUAAUGAUGUUGGGCGGGGGGGUGGUAGCUCUAGCUAACAUGAUCAAGGAAGGCUUUUCUGGGAAUUUAGCAUUGGAGCUGAGAUCUAAAUGGUGUGAAAGACGCUGUCACUGGUUCAUCUGGGAUGGGGGAAGGAAUAUUCCAUGCGGAUGGAAAAAACAAUUACACAGCCUCUGUGAUAGGAACGGAGAGGAAUGGAGGAAAAAUGAAGCUUAUGAAGGUCAGACCACAAAGGCCAAGGUUAGGAUUUGGGUUUAUCCUACGCGUAAAGGGAGCCUACUGCAGGGGAAUGGCCUGAUCUGUGAAGUGUGAAAACCACCAGCUCUUGUAUGCUAAGUGUUUCGAGGGAAGGGUGUGGAGACCAGGCAAUUAGGUGAGAGGUGGUGAUGGCAGUGGCAGGGUAUCCUGUGGAGGGUAUGGUUUGGAGGUGGAUUUGACAUGAUUUCGUGAAGACUUGGAUGUGGGUGGGGGAGAAAGGUAAGGAUUGAGCAGCCGAGUGGUGAGGAGUGGCGGAGACAGUGGAGACUUGGUCAAGGGGCUCGGGUUUCGGCCACAGUGUGUGUGAGGUACUUAGCAUUGGCCUGCAGCUGUGGAGUAUACAGCCACGCCUGGUGGGGCAGCCUGGGCUGGUGGCGUUGUGCGCAUCCAUGUCACCUGCGUACAGAACCUGGAAAACUACGGGACAGGGUGAGUUCCUCCAAGGUGCGAGUGUGGACAGAGAGUAGAAGCGGGCCAGCGGUCCUCCUUGAGGGGGUGGGGUUGAGGAGGAAGCUGUGGGAGGGGGGAGGAAUCGCUAGGAGAUGGGAAGGGAAUCCAGCUGAGCGUGGUUGGUAUAGAAUUCAAAAGGAGAAACACUUGAAGUGAGGCGUGAUUGCCUAUGUCAGAUGCUGUGUGAAGUAAAGCCAGGCCAGGGAACUGAUCUUUGGCUCUGGAAGUGUGGAGGUGAUUAACGACCUUCAUCAGUGGAUGAAAUGCCUCAGUGGAGGGGGCUGAGGGAGGGACUGGGGGUACUGUGAGGACCAGCACUGAGGAAAUGGAGACGACAGAUGUGGGCAGGUCUCCAAAGGGUUUUGCUCUGAAAGAAAAUGGGGAAAUGUGGCAGUAGCAGGACAAGAGUAUGGAUAAAGGGGAAUAGGGAAGGUUUAUUUUAUUCCAUUUUGUUUUGUUUUGGAUAAUACUAGGUCAUAUUUGUCUGCCACUGGAAAUAUCCAGGAGUGGGGGAUAAUUGAUUGCAUGUGAGAAAAUAGAUAAAACUAUAAGGAUUAUGCUCUGAGAUGAGAAAAGGGGAUGGGAUCAGUGCCCAAGUAGACUGGUCAGCUUUGGAUAGAAUGGGACUUUAUUCUGGUAUUCUGAGAGGAAGAGCCUGUAGAUGCAUUGCGGGUAGAAACAUGGAAUUGGGGAAGCAUAAGGUAAUUAGUUCUUUCCUGUGAAGUAGGAGAGAAGUUAGGAGGUCAUCAGUUAGUUGAGAGUGGAUAGGAAGAAUUUUGUCUGCCAGUUUUCCAGAGAAUGCAGCUGGGUGGAGGAGGGUGGAUAGCCAAGUAAACUGGCAGUUACAUAUCCCUUGGAGGCUUCCCAGUGCACUUAGAGGGAAUCCAAACUUCCUAGCAACCCUGCGAGGCCUUGGGUGGUGAGAAGGUAAGCCCAGAAAAUCAGGCAUCUCCAUAACUUGGCAGGGAGGACAGGGUGAGUUGGUGGGAAAGCAGGGGUUAGUUAAGGAAGGCUUCCUGGAGGAGAUGAAUGGGGAAGUUGGCGCUGUUGUUAAUCCUUGAAGGAGGAGUUAGCCAGUCUGGUGUGGAAGCAACUUCUGAGGUGGGGACAUCUCUGCGUCGGAGCCCAGAGCUUGGCUGGAGCACUGGAGGGUAGGAGACAGAGGUGCAGCAGGAGACAGGUCACCCCAGGGGGUGGGCGUUGGGAGACCAGCAUGGUAGCUAUGUGCAGAUUGAACUGGCAGGGGUAGAAGUGGAGGUUGGAGGCCAGUGGGGCAUGGAGCCUGCCUUCUUCAUGUGAAAUCCUCAAGUGUUUAUUUAGGUAACGAAAAACUGAGGAAGUGGGGUUUUAAAAUACAAUUUUACAGUCUAAAGUGGAUUGUUUCUGUCUGGUAAAACCCUCUCAUGUGUCUUUUUGUUGGUGUUCGUUCAUUAAUUCAGUCAGCCUGUAUUUACUGAACACCUAUUUUGUGCUAGAUACUGUUCUCAUUUUCAGAAAAAAACAGGAAAUGUUCCAGAACUGCCCUUAUAGAGCUUCUAUCUAGUGAAGGAGACCGGUAACAACAACAAAUUGAAACAUCUAUGUUAGGUGGUGAUGAGUGUUCUGGAGAAAGAUAAAGCAUGGAAGCAUGCAGUUUAAAAUAGGGUGAGGAAUUUUCUGAACCAAGGCUUAGAGGAUAUGAAGGCACGAGCCAUCUGGAUGUCAUGGAUGAGCUUUAGGCCGAAAGAACAGCAAAUCCAAAGGCCCUGAUGGGAGAGGAUCAUAGGGUGUUGACAGAAAGGCAGGGGACCAAGGUGUCUGGGAAGAUGAGUAGGAGUGUAGAAGUCACUUGCUGAGGGCUUGGGGGUAAGUUGGAGAGGCAGACGCCACAGGGCUUUGUAGCCCAGUGAAAAUUCAAAUCCUUUUACUAUGGCCUACAGGCCCUGCUUGGUCUGGCCUCUGCCAGGCUGUUCACCCUCCCCAUCUUCCAUUUUCCCCUUUGCCUAUAGUGCCUCAGGCCUGCUAGCCUCCUUCCAAUUCUUCACAUGCUCUGGGCUGUUUCCCACCUCUGAACCCUUGCCUGUUCCGUUGCCACUGCCUGGACUACUACUGCUUCUCCUUCUGGCCCCACACCUUCCUUAGCUUAGGGGUCACCCUCCUCAAAUUGAGUCCUUCAUGUCGCUAUCCCUUUAGAGCCCUUAUCAAAAACUGUCCAUUAGUAUCUUGUGAUGACGGAGAGCAAGCUAUCAUUCUUACUAAAACGUGACAUUACUGUUAGAUUGGGAUCUGAAUACUGGGUACAAGGAACUAACAUGACAAAUUUUUACACAAGUUGGCUAAAUUUGCAAAAUUGCUGUCUGCCUGGAGGGGAAAACAGUAUAGACCACCUGGUAAUAAUAAUCUUUGGCCUCUUGUUGGGGAGGCGUGGUAGUGUUCACUGCAAUAACAUUUCAUUUCCUUAUUGGUGAUAAAGCUUGGUAGACCCUUGUUCCUCUCUGCUUCCAGUGUUCUAGCACCCUCUUUUUGGUCGAGUAACAGUGUGCUGUGAAAAGAGAAAUGGUUUUGGUUUUGGAAUAACUGGUUUUGUAGGAAUAAAUGACAGUGUGCCUGAAUCCCUCUAUUACAUCAUCAGGGGUUUCUUUCCCAAGAUAAACUCUGUGCUUGUUUCAACCUCUACAUAGGAAAUUUAUUUUCUUCCUUCCCUUUAUUCCUGUUUCUAGGCCUUUUUCUGUCUCCUCUGAUGAACCACUGUACUAGGGACAGGCUCGGAGUUUACAGCAGAUUUUAGGUACUACACUUUCUCUCCUUAUCUCAGCCUCAUGUCUGAGGAGCUUUCCAUUGUUAACUGGCAGCUGCAGUGACUGUGUCUUUAAAAGAUCUUGUGUGUUGGGUAGAUGUUUUCCUAAAAGCUGUUGGCUGUUACUGAAAAUAAUCUGUUGUGUGAGUUUACAAUCUCUCCAUGAAUCAUAGUUUUCUCAUUAAGGAGAUAGUUAUGCGAGGGUAACAAAUAAAACAACUAAUUUUUUUUAAACUUUAAAAACCAAACCAUCCAGCUAGAUUACUCAAGUUGGUAAGCACUAGUAUUCAUCAAAUGCCAUGUAAGGGUCUGUAGAAAUUUCACAAAGAUCUUUUUUUCCUCACUAGUAAUUCUGAAAUAAGAACAGCUUCUUAAAUACAGGAUUUCAAUAAAUGACAUUUAAGAAUUAUGAAAUCCUGAUAGCUAUAUGCUUUACUUAACACUGGGAAAAUGCCUUUAAGAAGAAUUUUAGGGGGGUGGGGCACCUGGGUGGCUCAGUCGGUUAAGUGCCCAACUCUUGAUUUCGGGUCAGGUUAUGAUCUCAUGGUUCAUGAGUUUGAGCCCAGCGUCAGGCUUUGGGCUGACGGUGCAGAGAGCCUGCUUGGGAUUCUCUCUCUACCUCUCUUUCUGCCCCUCCCUUGCUCACACUGUCUCUUUCAAAAUAAACUUUAAAAUCUGUAUAUUGGAGAAAAAAAAAAUUAGGGGCACUUGGGUGGCACAGUCGGUUAAGUGCCUGACUUCAGCUGAGAUCAUGAUCUUGAGGUUUGUGAGUUCAAGCUCUGUGUUGGGCUCUGUGCUGACAGCUCAGAGCCUGGAGCCUCUUUUGGAUUCUGUGUUUCCCCUUUCUGCCCCCCUCCUCCACUCAUGGUCUAUCUCUUUUCUCAAAAAUAAAUAAACAUGAGGGGCACCUGGGUGGCUUGAGCAUCAGGUCAUGAUGUCGUGGUUGACAAGUUUGACCCCACGUAGGGCUCUGUGUGGGCAGCUGAGAGCCUGGAGCCUGCUUCGGAUUCUGUGUCUUCCUCUCUCUCUGCCCCACUUGUGCUUACACUCUCUCUCUCAAAAAAUAAACAAUUUUUUUUUUUUUUUUACAUGCAGAUUCCCAGGGGUGCCUGGGUGGCUCGGUUGGUUAAGCAUCCAACUUCAGCUCAGGUCAUGAUCUCGCGGUUUGUGAGUUUAAGCCCCGCAUUGGGCUCUGUGCUAAUAGCUCAGAGCCUGAAGUCUGCUUCAGUUUCCGUGUCUCCCUCUCUCUCUGCCCCUCCCCUGCUCAUGCUCUGUCUCUCUCUGUCUCAAAAAUAAAUAAAAAAAUUUUAAAAAAUUAAAAAAAUAAACAUGAAACAAAUUUUUUUUUAAUUUAAAAAGAGGAAUUUUAUUUACAACUUGAAAAAUUAAGCAUCUUAGCCAAUACCUUGUAGUGACUAAUAGCAUUAUUAAUGGCUGUCAUUGUUUGACCACUUCUGUGAGCCAGGCACCACACACGGAUUGCCUCAGUUAGUCCUUACAAAGUACUGCAAAGCAGGUAUUUCCAUCAUCCCCAUUUUAAGGAUGAAAAAACUGAGGCUCAGCUCAGGAAAAUUGACUUGCCCCAAAUUACAUAGCAUCUAAGUGGCAAUGCUGGGAUUUCUGGUCUGGCUGACUCCAAAGCCAGAUGUUUCCCUGAUCUGUUUUUAGCAGUGGCUAAUUUCUGCGUGUUGAACACUCCUUUAUGAGGAGGCACUAGGAAUUGGCUUUAACUUAUUGGCAAACAGAGUGUCCAUGCACCCACCAGAGAGCUGUUUAAAAUCAAGGAACUCAGUGUUUUAGGGACUAGCAGCAGCAGUGAAGUUCUGGUGGGAGAGUGGGUGUACUGUCUGAGAACUUUGGACUUAAAAUGUUGGGACUGGUGGGUUAGAGAGAGAGAGAGAGAGAGAGAGAGAGAGAGAGAGAGUGUGUGUGUGUGUGUGUGUGUUAGGCCAUGCAGGGAUUCACUUAAAAUUCAUAGUAAACAUAAUUUCUAAAGUGCACAGUGGACAAAUGGUUAACUCUCUGAAAAUAAAUCCUAAUAGUUUGUUAGCUGAGACAGGAAAAAAUAAUUUAGACAUUUCUUGAUAUAACAGGGAAGUGGCAUGCAUACUAUGCAUACUAACCUUUUAGGACAUUAUCUGUUUUUUUUAAUGUUUAUUUUUGAGAGAGAGCAUGUGUGCACAUGUAUGAGCGUGAAUGGGGGAGGGGCAGAGAGAGAGACAGAGGAUUCGAAGUGGGCUCUGUGCUGAUGUGGGGCUCAAAGCCAUGAACUGUGAGAUCGUGAGCUGAGAGCCCAAUGUGGGGCCAGAACCCAUGAAAUAUGAGAUCCUGACCUGAGCCGAAGUCAGAUGCUUAACCGACUGAGCCACCCAGGCGCCCCAAAACAGUGUCUUUAUCUGGACAGAUAAAUAAACACAGCUAAUACAGUCUUUUAUAAUAAUGCAUAAAUAUGCUAACUAACUUGAAUGUAAAUUUAAAAAAUAAAAGAAAAAACAAACAAAAAAAUAAUGCACAAAGAUACUUAUAAUCCAGAGAUUCUCCAGGAGUCUUUCUUUCAAAAAUUAGACUCACUAAAUUUUACUACCUUACUUGCCAAACCAUUUUCUGGUUGGUAUUAAGUAGCUGAAUUGAUCGAUCGAUCUCUUUCUUGUUUUCCCAUCUCUGCUGGUCUUGUUGGUAGUGCUUCCAAAAGAGAAAUAGGUUACAAUAACAACAAAACUUUCCAUCAAAUAUUUCUCUCUGCUUUGGUCAUGUUGCAUUACUGUGGUCUUGUCUACGUGCAGCACGACUGGCACAGGCAUGUGGGAGUUUUCUUGAAGACCAGGCCGGCCUCCUCUUGCUGGCCGCAGAGCCACCCCCAGCUUUCUGUCUCUGCUCUGCACACAGUGGGUUCAUCCUGCCCGUUGUCAGUGCAGAGAUGAUUGAGAACUGGGAAUUACCUGUUCAGUUGCCUUUGAUAGGAAUCUACGGUUUUGAAAUAGUUACGACUAAACUGGACAUAAUUUUUCUUUCUUUUUGUUCUUUCUUUCAUUCUCUACUUUCUCUCUCUCUCUCUCUCUCUCUCUCUCUCUCUCUCUCUCUUUUCUUUCUACAGGAAAAAUAGAUCUUAAUGUAUAUUUUAAUGGUUUUCAAACAGUGCUGAUUACUUUGAGAGGUCAGACUUUCAUGUUUGGCUUUGGUAGAAUUUAGCAGGCCCUGUUAAGAGACAGCUUUUCUUCCAUUUUACAAGAUAACAAGUUUUUAUUUUUAUUCCCAAAUCCCCAGGAAAUUUUCAGUGCUGUCAGUUUUAUGAAAAGGUAAUUAGGGAGCGAGUAGGGAAUAUGUCUUGCAAGCGGUUGGUUUGGCAUCUUCCCUCAAGUUCUUAUUUGCCUGAUGAAACUAUCUCGUAAUAAGAUCCCUUUGUGUGCAGCCCCUCUGCAGUUCCCUGGAAGGCCUUGGCCAUAAUUAUGUCUAUAUCUGGGUCCUGUCAAAUGACGAGAGGAGCCAGAGUAGAAGAACGGCCACCCUGACCUUUUGCAAAUCUCACAGUUUAAAACUUGAGGUGGCUUCUAACAGACUCCUAUUGCUUAAGGGUUUUUGUACCAGCGUUGAAGGCACUGAGCAGGUAGCUCCUUCUGUGGAGACAUACCAAGAGUGUGUGCACUGAUUUUGUUAAAUAUGGCUGCAAGAGGACCAUAUGGGGCAUGGGAGAGUGGAGCAGUCUCUUUCAAAGAACCACUAAGGGAUUAAAAUGAAACAGGGGUCGAGAAGAGGUCAGCCCUUAAAGCUGGAGUCAAUGGAGUGUAUACUGGAAGUUCCAACUUCUUGUUUCUACUGCUUAUCCUGGUAUUUACUUGUGAGCACUCCCUCCCCACUCGCCCCCCAGAAAGUGGAGGGGAUACAUGAAGUUUAAUUACUCGGAAUUGUAACUGAGUUCUGAUCAAGGGUUUGCAAGCACUAGCUGUAGAUACCCACGUGUGGAGUCUGUGCAUAUAGGGUGCCUAGCCUUGACUAUGGUGUCAGGAAGGAAGAGCCCCUAAGACCAGAGACGGUGUUCAUGGACUUGCUCUUCCUGCAGAAAACAAGCCAAAUCCCUGGCCUGUGAGGCCACCGAGGGUCAGAUCAGUGUUCCCCUUUCCUUACAGCCUUUGCCUUCUUUUAGGAAGAAAGGUGCAUCAUUGCCAUCUGUUGUGGCUGUUGUUUGGUUUUCUUUGCUCUUGGCUGUAUUUUUUCUGGAUUAGGUGGUGUACAUUGUACACCCACACCGUAAAUUGCCCCCAACCCCUCUACUCUUACUUAGGAAGAGCUCACAUGAAAUCCUGCUCCCAUUCAGUGUUUCCUAGCUGGUAUUCUGAUGUGGGUGACCAAUGCAAAUUGGGACUGUGACACACCUGUGUCAGGACAGGGAGUCCUUUAAGUAUAGGUGGAAGUAGACCAUGAAGAACUAACACACACAAGGGUUUUGAAACAAGUGGUUCUUAAACUGGAUUUAUUUGAGCAGGGGGAGGUCCUCGAACCCCUUUGUAGAUAUAUACGAUAUACUGUCUGUGUUUGCCUAAGUACAGUUAUCUAAAAAGAGAGAAUAUGCUCUUGAACAGAUACUCAGAAGCCUUUUAAAACCCAGUAGGGUUUGGCACCACCAAUAAAAAUACCCAAAGACUUUUUGCAAGCUUACAGCAAGUCUCCACUUUGUAAGCUUACAGCAAGUCUCCACUGUUAUUUUGUUUGUAGUUAAAGUAGGUUUUUGGGUCCAUAUUCUAGAUAAUUUUAAAAAUCUCCUAUUCACUUUCUAAAUCUUGUGGUUUGCUUACUUAAUGUUCUCACAGCAGUAUUAUUUUCUGUAAUUUUCAUUAGAAGCCUAGUGGUAUUCUGGCUACAUUAAAGGUUGUAAGAAUCCUAAGUUGGCCAGCUUGAGAAGAUACCCAUUUUUUGUCCUAGUGGUGUCUUGGGGAUCUGCAUCAUUGCAGAUAGACAGGCAGAUAGAUAAAAAGCUCAGUCUCACCUGACAUUUUGAAAUGAACCUGUUUAUAAAUUCAGGGCAAACAAGGGACAGGCUUUAGGACAUGAGGUGGCCGCCAGGGUAAUUUUUGUGAAACUCACAUCGAAUAUUGUUUAUUAUUGCUUAACUGACUUCACGGAUUCCCAUUGCCCUUUGGGUAAAACUAAAACUACUUAAUGUGGCUGAUGGACAAAGUUCUGUUUGCCUGAGGCCACCAUAGCCUCUCAGCCCCUUAGCCUUUCCCUCUGGGUUAUGUAUGUCUAUCUGUCCCUAUGUGCAGGGUCACUACCCCCUUACCCCAGACACCCUUCCCUGCCCUGCUCCCUUCUUUCGUCUAAUCCCCUCCCCUGCCACAAAAAAUUAACCUUCAUUUCUUAGGUCCCUGCUUUGACCUUAGUUCUUCCAGGCAGCCUUUCUUGGGCCUCUGGUCCAGCUUUAUGUCUGCAGCAUCCUUUUUGUGUUCAGCCAUAAGGAGAGCUUCCCAUGUCAUUGCAUAGAGCUUUGCUUUUGUUUUUCUUUCUUUUUUUAAACUGCGUAGUGGUUUGUAAUAUGAAUACACUGUGGUUGUUUAAAACUCGACCUCAGUGGAUGGACAUUUAGGCUCUUGGUAGUUUUGCUGCUUUUAUCGACAGUGGUACAGUUCAAGUGCUUUUACAAGCUUCUUAGCACUAGUGAAAUUUUUAUUUGCUGGUUUUGUAAAUGAGCAGACAAAUGGAAGGUAUAUUUAAGUAGAUAAUGCCAAAGCGCCCUCCAGAAAGACUUUUCUGGUGUCAGAGGUCCAUUGAGAUGACAGAAAAGUAUGUUGAUGCCUGGGAGUGCAGUUCCUUUCUCUUGGAGUCUGCCUCUCCGUAAGGAACUGGCAGGGUCAGCUUUUUUUCCCCUGAUCUCCUACUCCCCAAGUACUGGGCUGUUGAAAUUGCAGUCUUCUAUCCUGUAGAACCUUAGAGCCCUGUGAUUUGAAGGUGCAGUCUGACCUUCAAAGUGUUGUUGUUAACAGAAGAAUUAAUUUUAUGCUUCCUGGUUACAAUGAUUUGCUUCAUCUGAGAAUCGCAGACUACUGGAGUGUUCCCUCUUUAAUCCACACAAAAUCUGGGGUACCAUUUUUGCCAACUUACUGUUGACUUUCUUCACCUACUCUGUAAGCCUCAGCCUCCACAGUCUCAAAGGCAAAAAGCUGUUUUCUACCUUCCUGAAGAUAGUCUACGAUGACUGAACUGUACAUCUCAUAACAGGAUUUGGGGUUGAAUAAGGAACAGACUGUUAAGUGACUGUCCUCUCAGCUACUUUUCUUUUUUUAAAAAAAAGAGGAAAUAGAAUUUCCCUGUGACUGCGGUAAUCUCCCUUGUUUUCCCUCCUGAUAAAAUGGUAUUCUUCCUUGGGUCCUGAAAAAAACCUUUGCAGAGUAGUUUGUUAGAUAAUCUUUCUGGGGGGGGGGGGGCGGUAUUUGUUCCUGCUGAAGGAAUAAUGAAAUUGAUACCUCACAGAUACCUAUUGGACCAAAUGGCUAGUUGAUUUUUGUUGUUGUUGUUAGUUUGUAUCAUACUUAAGAUGGAACCCCCCCCCCUUUUUUUUAAGGUAAUUGGAAGUUGGGUGAUUGAUUCACAGAUUUUGCACUUGAAAAGAUAUGGAUGUUCAUCCUAACUUUCAGAAUCAUCAGUUGCCCUAACUCCUUUGCAGCUAAUGACCAACACUGCAUUUGUACUGAGAAGCCAAAGACUAAUUCCUCUAGGAGCUGGGGAAGUCUGAAAACCACCCCCGUGUGUCCUGUCCUCUCCUAUCUGCCUGCCAGCUGGCAGCCUCUCCCACCUCCCACUGCCUCUUCCACCCUGCCUACUCGGAGGUUAUGAUUGCGUCUGGCCUCUCGGGCACACCGUGUGCGAAAUUCUGCCACUUCUGGGAAGAGAAUUCACAGAAAGAAUUGAAUUGCCUGUUUCUCUGAGUCCUUGGGGGCAGGGGAUGUUUUUGUUUAUGUUGAUGGGAACCACUCUUGGAACGAUGAAUGGAGAGAUCAGAAAUGAGACAGUCAUCCUACUACACACUUCUUUCCAGAGAUCAAGAUGGGAUGGAGGAGUGCUGGGAAAGAGACGGCCUUUGUGAGAGGCAGAAAGGGAAUACUUUUGGAUGGUAACUGAGGGAAGAGAGGGUGAAAUGAGGAGUGUUACAUCCUGGUGACUCAGUUGUUUUUAAAUACUUCCUCUCUGGGUUCCUGUAAUCACACCAAGAGUUUUGCAGGGUGUUAAU